CCCUCAGUUCAUUAGGCUUCAGAUGGAGGUUAUGAAGAACUUCACUAGGACUGGGGAAAGCCCUCAGUUCAUUAGGCUUCAGAUGGAGGUUAUGAAGAACUUCACUAGGACUGGGGAAAGCAUGCAGUUCAUUAGGCUUCAGGUGGAGGUUAUGAAGAACUUCACUAGGACUGGGGAAAGCCCUCAGUUCAUUAGGCUUCAGAUGGAGGUUAUGAAGAACUUCACUAGGACUGGGGAAAGCCCUCAGUUCAUUAGGCUUCAGAUGGAGGUUAUGAAGAACUUCACUAGGACUGGGGAAAGCCCUCAGUUCAUUAGGCUUCAGAUGGAGGUUAUGAAGAACUUCACUAGGACUGGGGAAAGCCCUCAGUUCAUUAGGCUUCAGAUGGAGGUUAUGAAGAACUUCACUAGGACUGGGGAAAGCCCUCAGUUCAUUAGGCUUCAGGUGGAGGUUAUGAAGAACUUCACUAGGACUGGGGAAAGCAUGCAGUUCAUUAGGCUUCAGGUGGAGGUUAUGAAGAACUUCACUAGGACUGGGGAAAGCCCUCAGUUCAUUAGGCUUCAGAUGGAGGUUAUGAAGAACUUCACUAGG